rnacentral:rRNA from 1 species
GACGAACGCUGGCGGCGUGCUUAACACAUGCAAGUCGAACGGAAAGGCUCCAGCUUGCUGGUGUACUCGAGUGGCGAACGGGUUAGUAACACGUGGGUAAUCUGCCCUGCACUCUGGGAUAAGCCUGGGAAACUGGGUCUAAUACUGGAUAUGACCUUUCUCCUUAUGGGGUUUGGUUGAAAGUUUUUCGGUGUAGGAUGAGCCCGCUGCCUAUCAGCUUGUUGGUGGGGUGAUGGCCUACCAAGGCGACGACGGGUAGCCGGCCUGAGAGGGUGAUCGGCCACAUUGGGACAGAGAAACGGCCCAGACUCCUACGGGAGGCAGCAGUGGGGAAUAUUGCACAAUGGGCGGAAGCCUGAUGCAGCGACGCCGCGUGAGGGAUGACGGACUUCGGGUUGUAAACCUCUUUCAGCAGGAACGAAGCGUAAGUGACGGUACCUGCAGAAGAAGCACCGGCUAACUAUGUG